rnacentral:lncRNA from 1 species
CUCCUUAAUAAGAUGAAUCCGUGUCACCAACAAUAAGUCAUGCUGCCUCUGCUUCCUGUCGCCUCCUGACAGGUCUCUGGUGCCAUCCCGUUCUUCUCUGCAGACAAUUAUUGUGAUAACCGCAUCCAGGCCAUCAAAGGAACAGCUCAGCGAUUGUCAUGACAACCUGAAGAGAGGACGUGCUGUACAGCCACCCAGAGCGGGGACAGAGGGUCCCUGUGACAGGAAGAUAACAUAAGACAAAGGACACAGGUGGAGCUCAGUAACCCAGUAUGAGGCGAACCACCGAUACAUGCGUGUUGUUGGCGAAGAUUCCUUCAUCACGCAUCCUUCCACCUGUGUCUACUUCAGCAAAACAUCAUUUGGCGUAACCGACUUUCCCAAUAAACCAGAAGUUUCCACUUCAAUCAUCUCUCUGCUGCCCCACAGACCUGGUAGG